rnacentral:rRNA from 1 species
UGCGGAAUUUUAGAUAAUGGAGGGAACUCUGAUCUAGCGACGCCGCGUGCAGGAAGAAGGUCUUCGGAUUGUAAACUGCUGUGGUAAGGGAAAAAUGCUAUGUAGAGUGGAAAGCUACAUAGAGGGAUGGUACCUUACUAGAAAGCCCCGGCUAACUACGUGCCAGCAGCCGCGGUAAUACGUAGGGGGCGAGCGUUACCCGGAAUCACUGGGCGUAAAGGGAGCGUAGGUGGCCUAACAUGUCAACUGUGAAAACCCGGAGCUCAACUCCGGACUUGCAGUUGAAACUGGUAGGCUUGAGGACGGUAGAGGAAGACGGAACUGCCAGUGUAGGGGUAAAAUCCUUAGAUAUUGGCAGGAACGCCGGUGACGAAGGUGGUUUUCUGGGCCGGUUCUGACACUGAUGCUCGAAAGCCAGGGGAG